rnacentral:rRNA from 1 species
AGAGUUUGAUCCUGGCUCAGAUUGAACGCUGGCGGCAGGCCUAACACAUGCAAGUCGAGCGGAUGAAGAGAGCUUGCUCUCUGAUUCAGCGGCGGACGGGUGAGUAAUGCCUAGGAAUCUGCCUGGUAGUGGGGGACAACGUUUCGAAAGGAACGCUAAUACCGCAUACGUCCUACGGGAGAAAGCAGGGGACCUUCGGGCCUUGCGCUAUCAGAUGAGCCUAGGUCGGAUUAGCUAGUUGGUGGGGUAAAGGCUCACCAAGGCGACGAUCCGUAACUGGUCUGAGAGGAUGAUCAGUCACACUGGAACUGAGACACGGUCCAGACUCCUACGGGAGGCAGCAGUGGGGAAUAUUGGACAAUGGGCGAAAGCCUGAUCCAGCCAUGCCGCGUGUGUGAAGAAGGUCUUCGGAUUGUAAAGCACUUUAAGUUGGGAGGAAGGGCAGUAAGUUAAUACCUUGCUGUUUUGACGUUACCGACAGAAUAAGCACCGGCUAACUUCGUGCCAGCAGCCGCGGUAAUACGAAGGGUGCAAGCGUUAAUCGGAAUUACUGGGCGUAAAGCGCGCGUAGGUGGCUCGUUAAGUUGGAUGUGAAAGCCCCGGGCUCAACCUGUGAACUGCAUCCAAAACUGGCGAGCUAGAGUAUGGCAGAGGGUGGUGGAAUUUCCUGUGUAGCGGUGAAAUGCGUAGAUAUAGGAAGGAACACCAGUGGCGAAGGCGACCACCUGGGCUAAUACUGACACUGAGGUGCGGAAGCGUGGGGAGCAAACAGGAUUAGAUACCCUGGUAGUCCACGCCGUAAACGAUGUCGACUAGCCGUUGGGAUCCUUGAGAUCUUAGUGGCGCAGCUAACGCAUUAAGUCGACCGCCUGGGGAGUACGGCCGCAAGGUUAAAACUCAAAUGAAUUGAC